rnacentral:rRNA from 2 species
ACAACUUUCAGUGAUGGAUGUCUUGGCUCAAGCACCUGUGAAGGGCGCAGCGAAGCGCGAUAGUCUUUGUGAAUUGCAGAACUCCGUGAACCAAUGGCCUCCUGAACGUACGUUGCACUCUUGGGAUUUCCUGAGAGUAUGUCUGCUUCAGUGCUUAGC